rnacentral:SRP_RNA from 1 species
GGAUGGGCAUGGGCGGCGCCAUGUUCCGAACCUGGUCAGGUCCGGGAGGAAGCAGCCAUAAGGAGCCUCUGACGAGCGCCCACGCCUAUCCGGG